UUGAUAAAGCGGAGGAAGGUGGGGACGACGUCAAGUCAUCAUGGCCCUUACGACCAGGGCUACACACGUGCUACAAUGGCGUAUACAAAGGGAAGCGAAGGUGCGAGCUGGAGCGGAUCUCAUAAAGUACGUCUAAGUUCGGAUUGGAGUCUGCAACUCGACUCCAUGAAGUCGGAAUCGCUAGUAAUCGUAGAUCAGAAUGCUACGGUGAAUACGUUCCCGGGCCUUGUACACACCGCCCGUCACACCAUGGGAGUGGGUUGCACCAGAAGUAGAUAGCUUAACCGCGAGGGGGGCGUUUACCACGGUGUGAUUCAUGACUGGGGUGAAGUCGUAACAAGGUAACCA
rnacentral:rRNA from 1 species